GACGAACGCUGGCGGCGUGCUUAACACAUGCAAGUCGAGCGGUAAGGCCCCUUUUGGGGGGUACACGAGCGGCGAACGGGUGAGUAACACGUGGGUGACCUGCCUUCAGCUCUGGGAUAAGCCUGGGAAACUGGGUCUAAUACCGGAUAUGACCUUUGCCUGCAUGGGUGGGGGUGGAAAGAUUUGUUUUGGCUGGGGAUGGGCCUGCGGUCUAUCAGCUUGUUGGUGGGGUGAUGGCCUACCAAGGCGACGACGGGUAGCCGGCCUGAGAGGGCGACCGGCCACACUGGGACUGAGACACGGCCCAGACUCCUACGGGAGGCAGCAGUGGGGAAUAUUGCGCAAUGGGCGGAAGCCUGACGCAGCGACGCCGCGUGGGGAUGACGGCCUCGGUU
rnacentral:rRNA from 1 species